rnacentral:rRNA from 1 species
UAUGUGAUCGUCUCUCGCAUAUCAAUAAGCGGAGGAAAAGAAACUAACAAGGAUUCCCCUAGUAACGGCGAGUGAAGCGGGAAGAGCUCAAAUUUGAAAUCUUAAAGGGUUUCCCUUUACGAAUUGUAGUUUAAAGAAGUGUUUUCUGUUGAGGUUUUGGUAAAAGUUCUUUGGAAUAGGACAUCAUAGAGGGUGAGAAUCCCGUAUUUGACCUUUACUUUCAACUUUGUGAUACACUUUCAAAGAGUCGGAUUGUUUGGGAAUGCAGUCCAAAAUGGGUGGUAAAUUUCAUCUAAAGCUAAAUAUUGGCGAGAGACCGAUAGCGAACAAGUACCGUGAGGGAAAGAUGAAAAGAACUUUGAAAAGAGAGUUAAACAGUACGUGAAAUUGUCAAAAGGGAAGCGUUUGACACCAGUGUUGUUUUUCUGAAAAUCAAUUAAAGAACUGUUUAUGCUAAGCUGUUUAGACUUUAUCAGCUAUCUGUUUAGUUUUGAGCUUUUCUUUAUGCACUUUUCAGUUAACAAGUCAACAUCAAUUUCUUUUGCUGUAAAUAAGCUUGAGGAAGGUGGCUUGAGAUUCGUCUUAAGUGUUUAUAGCCUCUUGCCUAUGCAGUCGGAGAGAUUGAGGUCUGCAGCGUAGAUCCUUCGGGGCUAAAUGCAUUUGUGCUAAGUUAUAGCAUUUUAUAGACAACUUGUUGACUAUGAUUUGUCUUGUAGCUUACUCGCUUAUGUUAUUUUACCUACGCUUAGGAUGUUGAGUAGCGACAUACGCAC